AGUAAGAUAAUAUAAUAGAUAUUAUACUAAAUUUAGGAUUUAGAAAUGAUUACAUUUCUCUUACUUU
rnacentral:tRNA from 1 species